UUGUAACUAUUACAGUAUAUUACUAUACAUUGAAUGGAAUGCGGAGGUAAUUCCCAGAAGUCUGAUUGGACAGCGUACAAGACAUAAAUUCUCUAGAAAUGCACUGCACAUUUCAGAUUUGCUUUACAUCUCUGAGUUUUGGAAUAUAUUAUCCAGAAGGAGUAAAUGUUUAGUCCCUUACUGAUUGGGUUUCCGUUCUGAACAUAGAACUGUCCUGUUUUGUGCUUUCUGUUGUCCAGUACAGUGGAUGAAGGUUUUAUGGUUGUUCCUUUUUAUGGUUUUACAGAAGUGAUCACUCUCGUGUUAUCCAACUUGGGACCUUAUCCUCUUUCAGGAGGAAGUAGAGCAAUGUUUCCUAGCAUGAGGGCGGAGCCUCCUUUGGUGUAUCAGACUAGUUGGUGGGAAGCAUGAAAGUGUGGCUUGUGACCUUUAUUUGAAAUCUGCUCAUCAAUCUGAUGUGUUGGAUUUGUAAGAGAACACAGCUUCUCACCAUUGUUAGAAAACCUGCAGAUACUUAAAAAUGAGCAGUGAUUGCUCUAACUCAAGUAUUAGCCAACAACAGGUAACAAAUACAUUAGCAGUUCAGAUAAUACAGAGGAGACUUUGUUUUGAAGUCUAAUAAUAGAUUUUAUUGUCUUUAUUGGGAUAACAAUCCUUUAGUCAGUCAACAUUUGGACAGCGCUUUGAGGAUGUAAAGUGCUAGACAGUGGUUAAGUGUUAAGUUCACAGGGGCUUGCUCCUAUGAGCAAGUUGGCAAAGUUCCUGUUGAUUUUAGUGGAUCCCAGGAUCAGCUCUAUAUGGACUUGAGUAGUCUUCACUCACAUGAGUCCUGCUGACUUCAAUGGGACUGCUCCUGUUGCUGGGGUUAUGUCUACCCUAGAAAUGCUACAGCAGCAGAGCUGCAGCACUGUAGUGUAGACAAUUACUAGAGUAACAGAAGGAGUUCUUCUGUCACGGUAGUAAACUCCACCUCUCCAAGAGGCAGUAGCUAGGCCUGCAGAAGAAUUCUUCCAUUGACCUAGUGAUGUCUACACCAGCGCUUAAGUCAUCUUAGUUACAUUGCAUGGGGUGUGAAAGCCCUGAAGGGUGUAGUUAAGCCACCUAAGUCUGAAAGGUAGACCAGUCCUAAGACAAACACAAGGAAAGGUUUGCGUAUUUGGGCCCUAGUUUUGCAUAUCUAUUUUUCAUGGCUCAGUCUGUACCAUCACCUGCCUUUUAAGUGGCUCCAUUCCUUUCUCUGGGAGUUCACGGAUGAUAGAAAUAGAAAAUAAAGGGAACUUUAUAUGGUCA
rnacentral:lncRNA from 1 species